CUUCCAUGCCUGGGGCUCAGCCCAUGGGAUGACCAAAGGGCUCCACGUUGAUGUCCUGGCUAACAAAACCUGUGGCUUUGAAGGGCAACACACCAACUGUGCUGCCAGACCCCUCCCUUGGGAGGGAUUUUAUUCUUAUUCAAGCACUGGUAUAAAGCACAAGUGCUCUGGCUUUAGGAGGAUUUGCUAUUCUCAUAAUGAUAUAUGUAUUUUCAGAGAGCAUUGCUCUUGAAUGGGGUUCAUUAAAAUGAAUCUGCAGAAAAAGAAUGUGGUCAGACUUGGGGGAAUGACUUCACAGCUUUUAUUAAAGGGCAGCGUAAUCCUCCCCUGGAUAACUGGAGAAUCCUUAUAAAGAAAAAUAAGCAGUGAUGAUGUGUUCCAGUUUGAGUGCCAUGCUUUGGAAGUUCUGACCCAUGAGAUGUUAAUUUCCCAGUCUAAUUACAUGAAAAUGUAUAAAUAUGAGUGCUGAUGAGGAGGAGAAGUAUCCUGCUUCUGAAAGGAAUUAUGCAAUUCAUCUGGGAUUUGCUCUGGACUGCUUCCAAAUACACCCACACAACUGCUCUAAGAGUGAUGAGGUUUAUCCGAAGAUGGACUUGGCAAGCUUGUGUUUCAAAGGGUUACUGAUCCAAAAUGCUUCAGGAAGAGACUUCAAGACACACAAGUAACUCCACAAAGCAAUAAGAUAAAAGAUUGUGAACAGUUUCUGUAUUUAAAUGUUUACAAGAGUUGAAGCUGGUAGCUUAAACAUUUUCUCUGAAAAUGUCUCCUUCUCCACCAGUGAACCAGCAUCAGUCAGUUUGAUGACAACUAACUGGAUGCUCACAGCCUGUGACUGCUCAGGGUUUUGUGAUGUUGAAUACCUGCCAGGUUUUUCUUCAGAAAAACAUAAGAGUGUGGCUCAACUGAUGGUCAGAGGAAUCUUUAACACCCUGUUGACUAAUUUUUCUCCAUCUGCAGAUGCAUGAAACAACCUUGGAAAGCCCUGCUGUCCACGGACAAGGCUAUGAAUCUAGAGACCUGGUUUUGAUCUUGGCUCCCCCCUUGGACUGCUCCACAGCCUUGAGCUGCCUUUCUCCUCCAGGCCUUACAACACACCCUCCUAGAAAAUGGGGGUCCACAGCACAGCCCUCCAUUGUUGAGGCACUCAAAGAGCUACUCAUGAGAACUGCAAUGCAAUGACUGGGAUUCUGUUUCUGCCAGUGCACUAAUUCCAGAACCCACACCCAAAUUUAUGAAAUUACCUUUUAAAUGAUGAGACAAAAUCAUUCUUUUUAUUCUCUGUCUCUCUCUCUCUCUUUUUUU